rnacentral:rRNA from 1 species
GAUGAACGCUGGCGGCGUGCCUAAUACAUGCAAGUCGAGCGAAUGGAUUAAGAGCUUGCUCUUAUGAAGUUAGCGGCGGACGGGUGAGUAACACGUGGGUAACCUGCCCAUAAGACUGGGAUAACUCCGGGAAACCGGGGCUAAUACCGGAUAACAUUUUGAACCGCAUGGUUCGAAAUUGAAAGGCGGCUUCGGCUGUCACUUAUGGAUGGACCCGCGUCGCAUUAGCUAGUUGGUGAGGUAACGGCUCACCAAGGCAACGAUGCGUAGACGACCUGAGAGGGUGAUCGGCCACACUGGGACUGAGACACGGCCCAGACUCCUACGGGAGGCAGCAGUAGGGAAUCUUCCGCAAUGGACGAAAGUCUGACGGAGCAACGCCGCGUGAGUGAUGAAGGCUUUCGGGUCGUAAAACUCUGUUGUUAGGGAAGGACAAGUGCUAGUUGAAUAAGCUGGCACCUUGACGGUACCUAACCAGAAAGCCACGGCUAACUACGUGCCAGCAGCCGCUGUAA